rnacentral:lncRNA from 1 species
AAGUUUAGGCGACAGAGACAGCUAGUUGGUCCGAUGCGGAAGUGCUUUUCCAGGCCGUUUACGGAAAGGUCUACUCAACACCCUGCAAAAAAUCUGGUUGAGUAAAGAUGAGGGUCUGUGUUAGACUGGGGUCGCGAGCUGAGUGGUGGGUAGUUCUAAGUGGAGGGAGGUUCGGGUAUGUCAUUGAUGCGAGAGACUGGGAGAUGGGAUGAUGGGGGCUUGAGAGAUGAGUAAACGGGGGUCUGCGGACUUAAUAGUGGACAAAGUUAUGAGGCUAGUUAGGAUUAAGUGAGUCGUACUAAACUUUAGCUUUUACACAUUUUCUAGCACAGUGAUCCCCUCUUUAGAUGCGCCCCCUUGUUUCCGUCUUCCAGUGUACAGCUCGCAGGAAUCAUGGGGAAGAGUGCUGGAUUAAAUCAGCAUUUAAAGACUUCUUUACAGCACCUGAGCUAAACAGCCCCAGUGAGGGAGGUG